rnacentral:rRNA from 1 species
AAUCGAGUGGCGAACGGGUGAGUAACGCGUGAGGAACCUGCCUCAAAGAGGGGGACAACAGUUGGAAACGACUGCUAAUACCGCAUAAGCCCACGGCUCGGCAUCGAGCAGAGGGAAAAGGAGCAAUCCGCUUUGAGAUGGCCUCGCGUCCGAUUAGCUAGUUGGUGAGGUAAUGGCCCACCAAGGCGACGAUCGGUAGCCGGACUGAGAGGUUGAACGGCCACAUUGGGACUGAGACACGGCCCAGACUCCUACGGGAGGCAGCAGUGGGGAAUAUUGCACAAUGGGGGAAACCCUGAUGCAGCGACGCCGCGUGGAGGAAGAAGGUCUUCGGAUUGUAAACUCCUGUUGUUGAGGAAGAUAAUGACGGUACUCAACAAGGAAGUGACGGCUAACUACGUGCCAGCAGCCGCGGUAAAACGUAGGUCACAAGCGUUGUCCGGAAUUACUGGGCGUAAAGGGAGCGCAGGCGGGAGAACAAGUUGGAAGUGAAAUCCAUGGGCUCAACCCAUGAACUGCUUUCAAAACUGUUUUUCUUGAGUA